rnacentral:rRNA from 1 species
UGGGGGAUAUUGCACAAUGGGCGAAAGCCUGAUGCAGCGACGCCGCGUGGGGGAUGAAGGCUUUCGGGUUGUAAACCUCUUUCGCUAUCGAACAAGGCGCGCUUAGGGUGGGAUGAGGGUAGGUGGAGAAGAAGCGCCGGCUAACUACGUGCCAGCAGCCGCGGUAAUACGUAGGGCGCGAGCGUUGUCCGGAAUUAUUGGGCGUAAAGGGCUUGUAGGCGGCUUGUUGCGCCUGCUGUGAAAACGCGGGGCUUAACUUCGAGCGUGCAGUGGGUACGGGCAGGCUUGAGUGUGGUAGGGGUGACUGGGAUUCCAGGUGUAGCGGUGGAAUGCGCAGAUAUCUGGAGGAAGACCGAUGGCGAAGGCAGGUCACUGGGCCAUUACUGACGCUGAGGAGCGAAAGCAUGGGUAGCGAACAGG